CCUACGGGUGGCAGCAGUGGGGAAUAUUGCACAAUGGGCGAAAGCCUGAUGCAGCAACGCCGCGUGAGCGAUGAAGGCCUUCGGGACGUAAAGCUCUGUCCUCAAGGAAGAUAAUGACGGUACUUGAGGAGGAAGCCCCGGCUAACUCCGUUCCAGCAGCCGCGGUAAUACGUAGGGGGCUAGCGUUAUCCGGAAUUACUGGGCGUAAGGGGGGCGUAGGUGGUUUCUGAAGUCAGAGGUGAAAGGCUACGGCUCAACCGGAGUAAGCCUUUGAAACUGGGGAACUUGAGUGCAGGAGAGGAGAGUGGAAUUCGUAGUGUAGCGGUGAAAUGCGUAGAUAUUAGGAGGAACACCAGUUGCGAAGGCGGCUCGCUGGACUGUAACUGACACUGAGGCACGAAAGCGUGGGGAGCAAACAGGAUUAGAUACCCGAGUAGUC
rnacentral:rRNA from 1 species